GGUGCUUGUCACCUGGUGUCUGAAACUGCCUGGUUUGCGUGUGCUUGGGGCAGAGCAUGGACUAGACAUUAAUUUGGAAGAAGCAUUUAGAAAACGUUGCUGUUUCUGCACUUUCUUCAAGUGGGUCAUGUUGAGCAUUUAACGUCGGUGCACCUUUGAGACUGAUCAGAGACACUUCAGUGCAUCUAAAGGCAUUGGUCUUGCUACAGGUGAUUUUUGUCAGCAGCUCUGCAUUGAGCAAUUUCCCCAUUUAAACCUAAUAGCUCGCUACUGAUUUCCUGAGGUGUGUGUCUGUCUGGAUCUCGUGUCCUACAGAGCUGAGAUCAUAAAUCCAAAUUCUUGGUUCAUCUUUCUCCCUUCAUGAGGAGGAUAUUUUUAGGUCUUAAAUAAGCAGGUGUUAGACAGCAACAAGAUGCAACUUAAUUUUCUUCUGCACCUUUUGCAGAAAGAGGAAACUAAAUAUCAUACGUUGUAUUCUACCAGAAAUAAAACUAGGGGACGAGUUGCUGUGAAGCAUGGCCAUAGUCCAGUAUGGCAGCUUGGAGCAGAUGAGAGCACACAUUUUCCUUGCUGGGAAUUAGGGGGCCUUUUUAGAUUCAAAUAAUGAGAUAAUCAACAUCAGUUUGAGCAUCUUGCUCUACAUGAUCUGUGUGCAAAGUAGGAGUGAAUCUGGUAAGCAGAGGAGGGGGAAACGGUCUCUGAAAUGCUAUUAGUGAGUCAAAGAGUGUCUCAGAACAAUUUCAGUUGCAGAACAAUAAGACAUCCCAAAGUAUUAAUGUACUGCAUGCUGCAGCUGUCCACACAAUUUCUCCUCAUUGCUUCUGAUGUCCAUUCUUCUGAACAACUGUUUGGAGAUGAAUUCAAGGGAUAAAACAGUGUUGGUGGGGGUGGGGAAAUCCUUGGCAUGCCAUUGUUUAACCAGGUUAUGUAGCACAUUAGCAAGGGCUUAAUUGGACCUUGUACUUCUUAAUUAAAAGACCUUGAAGAAUUUUCAUCCUACUACUUUUGACAAGUGGUUUUGCAAAGUUCAGGAAGCUUAUCAGCAGAUAAGAGGCUUCAGCCUGAGAUUCCAGCCAAAAUGACAAGGCCCCUUAGAAAAAA